CACAGGUUCAGGUCCAGAAGUGAAGAGGCUUGAUAUGACAGUUUGCAGAAGAUGGAGCUUUCUGCCAGUGGUGGAUAAUAAAACAUAGGCUUUUUGUCAUGUGUUGUAACCUGCUCAGAAAGUGUCUGCUGUUGGCUGAAGAUUGAGAAUGGCAGAUGUCAGAAAUCACCUGUGUGAUUUCAGAAAGCUGUGAGAUCAAGGGAUGGAAGAUGAUGGCUGCCUUCCUUGAUGCUGAGAAAAGCUUGCAACCCCUGAUAACCAAUCUUGCAGAACUCACUUCAGUGUCAGUGUCUUACUCAUGUGGCCUGUGUUGGCAGUCGCAGACAGUUACUUGAGGUGAAAAGCUAG
rnacentral:lncRNA from 1 species